UACGUAGGGUCCGAGCGUUGUCCGGAAUUAUUGGGCGUAAAGGGCUCGUAGGCGGUUCGUCACGUCGGGAGUGAAAACUCGGAGCUUAACUCCGAGCCUGCUUCCGAUACGGGCAGACUAGAGGUAGGCAGGGGAGAGCGGAACUCCUGGUGUAGUGGUGGAAUGCGUAGAGUAUCGGGAGGACACCAGUGGCGAAGGCGGCUCUCUGGACCGGUUCGUGGACGCUCAGGCGCGAAAGCGUGG
rnacentral:rRNA from 1 species